rnacentral:miRNA from 1 species
GCACCUUAGAGACCAACUAAGUUUUUUCUGGGUAUAAGCUUUUGUGUUCAUGGACAUUUCUAUGCAUGCACAUGAAAGCUUAUACCCAGAAUAAACUUAGUUGGUCUCUAAGGUGC